AUGCUCAUUUCUGAGCACAUAUACUAAAAUUGGAAUGUUACAAAGAAGAUUCGCAUGGCCGCUGCACAAGGAUGCUGUGAAAAUUCUUGAAGAAUUCCCUAUUUUU